rnacentral:rRNA from 1 species
UACAGAGGGGGCAAGCGUUGUUCGGAAUUACUGGGCGUAAAGGGCGCGUAGGCGGCCUGUUAAGUCGAACGUGAAAUCCCCGGGCUCAACCCGGGAACUGCGUCCGAUACUGGCAGGCUUGGAUCCGGGAGAGGGAUGCGGAAUUCCAGGUGUAGCGGUGAAAUGCGUAGAUAUCUGGAGGAACACCGGUGGCGAAAGGCGGCAUCCUGGACCGGCAUUGACGCCUGAGGCGCGAAAGCUAGGGGGAGCAAAACGGG